UACGAGGGGAGCAAGCGUUGUUCGGAUUUACUGGGCGUAAAGGGCGCGUAGGCGGUCGUGACAAGUCACUUGUGAAAUCUCCGGGCUUAACUCGGAACGGUCAAGUGAUACUGUCGGACUAGAGUGCAGAAGGGGCAACUGGAAUUCUCGGUGUAGCGGUGAAAUGCGUAGAUAUCGAGAGGAACACCUGCGGCGAAGGCGGGUUGCUGGGCUGAUACUGACGCUGAUGCGCGAAAGCCAGGGGAGCGAACGGG
rnacentral:rRNA from 1 species